UACGUAGGGUGCGAGCGUUGUCCGGAAUUAUUGGGCGUAGAGGGCUCGUAGGCGGUUUGUCACGUCGGGAGUGAAAACUCGGGGCUUAACCCCGAGCCUGCUUCCGAUACGGGCUGACUAGAGGUAUGCAGGGGAGAACGGAAUUCCUGGUGUAGCGGUGAAAUGCGCAGAUAUCAGGAGGAACACCGGUGGUGAAGGCGGUUCUCUGGGCAUUACCUGACGCUGAGGAGCGAAAGUGUGGGGAGCGAACAGG
rnacentral:rRNA from 1 species